rnacentral:tRNA from 1 species
ACAUUUGAAUCUAACGGAUAGAAUAUAAGCUUCGAACUUAUACUUAGCAAGUUCGACUCUUGCCAAAUGUU